rnacentral:lncRNA from 1 species
UUCAAUCACUUUUUUUGCCUUUUUAGACUUAAAUAGACCUGCAAAUUAUAAUAUUAAAACAAAAAAAAACUUCCAGCCAACUAACAACAACAAAGAAUUACACAAAAGAAAGUGAUAUAUACUAGUAUCACUUCUCUGAACAUCUCGAUACACUUCAGUCAUUUUUUCUCCCUUAUCAUAUCCAACUGGACCUGCAAAGUUUAAAGUAAGUCAACUAUGCUCUUUGAUAUAAAUUGAUCAUUAGCACUAAAUAAUCAAAAGAAACUGGAGAAUGAUCCAGUAGUUAUGUUUUAGGUGUCAAGUUUUGAAAUUAUUAAUGUAUACAAUGGUCUGGUCUCUAUAAGAUUGUAAGACAGAAUAUCCAACCAUGCUAUCGGGUCACUAAAUUUCCUUCGCCUUUGAGAGGUACCAAUCCACAGUUCCAAACCAAGGGACAACUAGACAAAGCAGGUAAAACAAAUGUGAGAAUCCCCACAACUAUAUUUCUUUUAUCCAUGUGAUUUAACAGCACAGUUCCAAACCAAGUGACAACUAGACAAAAUAGGUAGAACAUUGCCCAUUGCAUAAGAUAAGGCCUCAAGUUGCCAAAAAAAAUGUAAUACAGAAAGGGGCAAC